UCCUGUAAUGCAGACAAGCAGACAGACAGCAGUCACAGCAAGAAUAAAGCAAAAAGGAAACAAGAAAAAAACCCCAACUUUACUAACAAUGCAGCAUCUAGCAGAUUUCUGUACACCUUUAAACUUGUUCUGCUCCUCUUCCGCAGGCUGUAUUUCAGUGGAUCUUAAACUGUGAAAGGUGGAAUUGCCAUAUAUUGAAUUCAUAUUAUUCUCUGGAUUCAGGACACUGGGGUAAUGACCCAGCAAAUGAAUUUGAUGUAGUAUGCCAUCAGCUUUACUCUGCAGGAACCAUUUAUCCUCCUCUGUAACCAAAGGCUGAAAACUUUCUCUGCUCUUACAUCUUCUUUGCUUUCAACAUUUACAUGGAGCCUUCAUGUUCUUCAUAGACUGCAAACUCUUCUAAGCAGUGACUUGUGUUUUGUGAUGAAACAAGCACACUGCAGGCUUGAAUUAGUACCAGUAGCAAACGUAAAUAUUUAGCAAUUUUCAUUAGAGAUUAUAAAUUAGGUUUAUGGAUAUCAAUUCCCAAGGGAAUCAAUUACUUCUUUUUUGUAUAGGGGUAGCACAUAAUAAUUUAAGUUACUAGAACAGUUUACAUUCUUCACAAAAAACCCACCCAAAACAACAAACAAACUGAAAAAACCAAACCCCACCAACUAUAAAUUGGGUAUGUUUAGGUUUGUACAUCUUCUUAGUUUCCCUAGUUUAGGAAGGCUGCUGUGUGGAUCCACUGAUGUGCGUUAGCUCAGCUUCCCCACAUUCCCUUACCUUUGCACAAGUUCUUCAUUAUUUGCUGAUUGCCACAGCUUCUCUUUUCUUGGUGUGAAGUAAUUUUUCUCUCAAAAAGAGGUUGAGCAUCACAACCCUGCUUAAAUCUCUGUUUACUUCACACCUUUAAUUCUGACUCCUUUUCUCCUGUUAUUUCCUUGCUCAAUGACUUAUUGCUUAAGUUCUUCUUUCCUUAUCUUUGGUCACUUGCUGCAUAAAAUCUUUGGUUUGACUGAAGCCGUUUUGCCUUCCUAACACUAGGAAGAACUAUAAUUCACCUACCCUGAUCCCACUUUCUUUCGUCUUCUCAGGUAACAAAUCGAUGUUCAGGUAUACUGAGUCCACUCCUUUGCUUUGCUUUUUUUUUCUGUGAAGCUCUCAGUAUUUCCUUCAGGUAGCUACAUCUUACCUUUUUUCCUUCUCUCUUCCCUAAUCAGUCUGUUGCUUCUGCCACUACUUAACACAAUUGUUUGUCUUCAUAUGUUCUUCAAGUAUAUUAAUACCCCUCUUCUCUUAUUUAUCCUAAGUAUUUGGUUUUGGUAUAGGUCUUUGACAUGUCUAUGGGUUUACUAGUAAGAUGUGCCCCCCUCCACUCCAAUUCUAAACAGAGCUAUCAAAAACUUUUCAAUGAGAUGUAGACACCUGCUGACAUUCUGGGUUGAACACCUGUUUGGUUUCCCACAGACACCCCCUUCCCCUUUUGCUCUAAAUGCUGAAUGACUACCAGUCUGGUAAGUGGCAACCAAAACCAUCAGGACAAGAAUAUCAAGGCCCUUUAGCAAGACCCUAUUUCAGGCUGGGAUAGUUUCUUAAGACUGUUACAACAUCCUCUUGACUUGUCUUAUAGAUUCUUGAGUCGCCCUCCCAAAUGCUGCCUGCUGCUCUCUAUAUGCAUCCUGUUACUUCUCAGAUCCUCAGAUCUCACAUCAGUUUCUUUUUGUUUAUAUACUUAAACUGUUUAUCCUCAUGCUCUUGAAUGUAACUUCAGCUUCUUUUUACCACUCUUCCAUCAAGCCCCCAUCCCUCUUUCUUUCUUUCUUCUAUGCUGUCCUGACAACCAGGAGCCACUCUCUGACCUCAACUGUCAGAAAUCUCCUGGAGUGUCUGAACUGCCCCACCAAAAAAGCAUCAUCUUUUCUCUCUUAAUUAGCCCCCUUUUUUUACUAACUGUAAUAAUAAAAAAAGCACCCUAAUGUAAGAUCUAUCUUAGAUAUCAGACAGAAGCUGAACAAGAUAACAGACCUGUUUCCACAAGACUGGUGCUUAUCCUACAGAAUCCACUUGGAGAUCUCUUUUUACACUGACAUACACAAUACAGCUUGAAGUGGAGCAAAGGCCCUGUUUUCAUACCUUUUCCUGAAGCCUGAUAACACGGUGUGGCUGUUUGUGGGAAAUAAAUCAAGAAAGGUCUCCAUGAUCAACUGGAGAACCUAAAUAACCCAGGAAUCCCAAGGGACCAGACCCAGUGAAAAAUAGUAUUCUGUGUAUCUUGUGGGCUGGAGUUACUGGUCAGCACAGUGAUUACAGCACCCACAAGAUGCACUUAAUAGCUGGUAUUUUCUGUUACAUACAAAAUACUCCCCCCACCCCAUGAUUUCAGGUUCUAAUCUCCAGCCACAUUCCAUAGUGGGUGCGACACAAUGGCAUGCAUUCACCUCCAGUUUACCUUACCUUCAGCAUGUCUUUGUAUCUGCCCAUCUCUGCAUGAGCAGUGAUGAGGCAACCCAAAACCCGAAACCUGCCAGCAGGAUCCGCAGACUUCUCCAAAACCCUCAUCCAGACUCGCAGGGCCUUUUCGGUCUGAUUAGACUGAUAAAGAUGAAGUCCUUUCUCUAUCUGGUGCUUUGUCUGGUCCUGACCCAUCUCCCAUGCAUUAAAAAGCCUCAUACACUAACCUCUAAGGACAGCAAAAAGGAAGUGCUUACAAGAGAACACAACUUAAAAUGCCCCACUGGAGGAGGGCAGGUUGUGUGCUCAGAAGGCCCGGAGCCGUAGAAGCCCAGCCAUGUCAGGGGGCUGGAGCUGUGGUAGGCAAUGGCAAGAACUGGUUGCUCCCAAAUCCAGUAGGCAAAGAUCUUCCUCACUAGGGCUCCAUCAGUGCAUUUGCCUGUCCAAUCUCAUAAACAAAGACGAAAAGCACAACAGGGAGAGAAAGAGAAAAAUCUCAAGCGACAGGAGUGAAACUCAAUCUGAGCAGUCAGUGCUGGUCUCCUCCCCAUUGGCUGCAGCUGCUCCUGCCAGUCUGGCUCACGUGGCUCCCAGGAAUGCUAGUCAGGCUUCUCAGCUCCCAAGGUCACAGUGUGCCAACUGCCCACCCCUGCCCACCAAUAUGCAGCUUAUAAAUACCCCAGGGAGAGACAAUUGGCUGCAGUAACAGGGAUGCCUCAGUUGUCUCUUUCCUCUCUCUCUGGCCAUCUCCUUUGACAUGCACUGCUGGUGGUGGGCUAGCCUAGGAGCUAGCAGACUCAGGUAGAAUAGUAGGAAAUAUACAGAAUAGUAGGAAAAAUACAUGCCUUUUUGUCAGGUAUGAACUAGAUGACUGCACUUGCAACAAUGUGUCUGAUACUUUGCUAGGCACAAAAUUCAGCCUCCCUUUUGAAGACCUCAGCUGUAAACAUGGACUGUUUCUGUGGACACAGGUCACAGAUUUGCUGCAAAUACAGGACUGACUUCCUAAUUUCAGAGACAAGAAGCUAACAAUUUUGAAAACCUUUAUUCUUGAUUGACUGUUGCUUCCUGCCAUCAGAUGCCUGUGGCAGUCAUCCAAGAGUUUCUAACAGAAGUUGUCAAAGGCACUGCUGAAAUUCCGCAUCCAGAACUUGCUGAUCUUUCAUGAUGAAUGACAAUGAAGACACAGAGCAACAGAUUUCUGCACUUUCUGACUGCAUGAGAGAGUUCUUAGCCCAAGUAGAAUAUAGCUUCAAUUUUCCCACACUCCGCUGAAAAAGUAAAAAUUAGACUGGUUCCUCUAGGA